UUUGCCCUGCUGUAUUCCAUCACCAUUCAUCUGCGGCUGCAUUCAUCUUCAUACUUUGAAAGAUCAACCAAAUCUUGAUUCUGUAAAUUCCCAAAUAUCCAAUUUUUGAACCCACAGCUCUACCAGGAACAAGAACUGACUGAGAUUGAAUUUUUCCUAAGUAUGUGCAUCUAAAAACUGCAAGUAGAAGUACAUAAUAUCCCUGCUUUCAGUGAGACCCCAGAGGAAAAAAGCUAAACCAUGAAAAAGUCUAGGAUAAAAGGAUUAGUAUGCUCUUUAUAAUCUUAGCAUCUUAAAUCUUUAUGUUUCUAAAUACAAUAAAAUGUCUAGCUGAUAAGUUUUGUUAAACUCUAAAGAUAAAGAAUUUGAUCUAAAAUAGUUUAUUUCCUAUUUCUAAUCUUUUAAUCAUAAAAUGACUAAUUUGAAGUUCCAAGAAAAUUCAUUCUUGCUGAUAAAAUAUCUUAAAUGCUUUAUUACUUUUUAUAUUUAGAUAACUUAGGUGGAAAUCUUUGUGUUACUCUACAGUUUUUCUUUAACUGGAGCCUUUCCUUCCUGUCCAGUCUCCCAGUGCUGAAUCAUGGGCUCUUCUUUAUAGGCAGAGUCCCCUUGGUACCAGAAGCAGUGAACAAAUUGCAGAAUUAUUAUGGCUCAGGGGUUUAUAGCUGUCUGGGGCUCCUCAUUUAAUCAACAGGUGUAGUAGCAGCUGAGGACUUGAGCAACAGCAGGUUCCCAGCUGGCCCACAAGGCCUGGGGAAUGCAAUGCCAGAGGCACAGAGGUGGCUUCUGUCACUCCUGGCCCGAGCUGGAUCACACGUGCUGCUGCCUGCCUGAUCCUGUAGCCUUUCCACCUUACUGAGACUUCAUGUGAUCAGCACAGCUGUCACUAUUCAAUCUGAGCACUUUCUGCUGUCUGACAAAGUAGGGUGUGUUUCAGGCUUUUUUGCAUGCAACAGGCAUGAAAACUCUCUGAUUAAAAUGCUUGCAAAGAGAAUGUUCCUUUGAAAGCAGACUGCCACUUCCUGGGGAUGAAGUCCAGUGAUGCUGGUCUCACAGAGCAAUGGAAGGUACUGCGCUCAGGGGGAGAGUGGAGUGCAAAGGAAACACUCCAUUAGAAUCUGUGAAUUCACCACAAAGAUCUACAGAGGGAGUCUGAAAUGCUUUCCUCUGCUGCAAACACAGUAUAAGUUUUCAAAUGACUCAAAUGGAAAAAAA